rnacentral:rRNA from 1 species
CGGACGGGUGAGUAACACGUGGAUAACCUACCUAUAAGACUGGGAUAACUUCGGGAAACCGGAGCUAAUACCGGAUAAUAUUUUGAACCGCAUGGUUCAAAAGUGAAAGACGGUCUUGCUGUCACUUAUAGAUGGAUCCGCACUGCAUUAGCUAGUUGGUAAGGUAACGGCUUACCAAGGCAACGAUGCAUAGCCGACCUGAGAGGGUGAUCGGCCACACUGGAACUGAGACACGGUCCAU